CGGAUUAGAUACCCNGGGUAGUCCACGCCGUAAACGAUGGAUACUAGCUGUNGGAGGGUAUCGACCCCUUCAGUAGCGAAGCUAACGCGUUAAGUAUCCCGCCUGUGGAGUACGGCCGCAAGGCUAAAACAUAAAGGAAUUGACGGGGACCCGCACAAGCGGUGGAUUAUGUUCUUUAAUUCGAUGAUAACCGAAGAACCUUACCAGGGCUUGACAUCCAGGGAAGGUCUGCGAAAGUAGACUGUGCCUUUUGGAACCCUGUGACAGGUGAUGCAUGGCCGUCGUCAGCUCGUGUCGUGAGAUGUUAGGUUAAGUCCUUCAACGAGCGCAACCCUUGUGAAUAGUUGUAUUUCUCUAUUCAGACUGCCCCGGUAACGGGGAGGAAGGAGGGGAUGAUGUCAGGUCAGUAUUUCCCUUACGUCCUGGGCUAGAAACGUAAUACAAUGGCUAGUACAAUGCGCAGCGAAGCCGCGAGGUGAAGCAAAUCGCAUCAAAGCUAGUCCCAGUUCGGAUUGCAGGCUGAAACUCGCCUGCAUGAAGUCGGAAUCGCUAGUAAUCGCAAAUCAGCAAGUUGCGGUGAAUACGUUCCCGGGUCUUGUACACACCGCCCGUCAAACCAUGAAAGUGACCAACACCCGAAGUCCGAUUCGUCGGCCUAAGGUGGGGGGCAUGAUUGGGGUU
rnacentral:rRNA from 1 species